CCUACGGGGGGCAGCAGGCGCGAAAACUUUACAAUGCAGGAAACUGUGAUAAGGGAACCCCGAGUGCCCGUAAACGCGGGCUGUCCCGGUGUUUAAAACACAUCGGAAGAAAGGGCCGGGCAAGACCGGUGCCAGCCGCCGCGGUAAUACCGGCGGCUCGAGUGGUGACCACUUUUAUUGGGCUUAAAGCGUUCGUAGCUUGAUUUUUAAGUCUCUUGGGAAAUCUCACGGCUUAACUGUGAGGCGUCUAAGAGAUACUGGGAAUCUAGGGACCGGGAGAGGUAAGAGGUACUUCAGGGGUAGAAGUGAAAUUCUGUAAUCCUUGAGGGACCACCGAUGGCGAAGGCAUCUUACCAGAACGGCUUCGACAGUGAGGAACGAAAGCUGGGGGAGCGAACGGGAUUAGAUACCCCGGUAGUCCCAGCCGUAAACUAUGCGCGUUAGGUGUGCCUGUAACUACGAGUUACCGGGGUGCCGAAGUGAAAACGUGAAACGUGCCGCCUGGGAAGUACGGUCGCAAGGCUGAAACUUAAAGGAAUUGGCGGGGGAGCACCACAACGGGUGGAGCCUGCGGUUUAAUUGGACUCAACGCCGGGCAGCUCACCGGAUAGGACAGCGGAAUGAUAGCCGGGCUGAAGACCUUGCUUGACCAGCUGAGAGGAGGUGCAUGGCCGUCGUCAGUUCGUACUGUGAAGCAUCCUGUUUAGUCAGGCAACGAGCGAGACCCACGCCAACAGUUGCUAGCAUGUUCUCCGGAAUGAUGAGGACACUGUUGGGACCGCCUCUGCUAAAGAGGAGGAAGGAAUGGGCAACGGUAGGUCAGCAUGCCCCGAAUUAUCCGGGCUACACGCGGGCUACAAUGGUCAGGACAAUGGGAAACGGCACUGAAAAGUGUAGUCAAUCUCCUAAACCUGUCCCAAGUUCGGAUUGUGGGCUGCAACUCGCCCACAUGAAGCUGGAAUCCGUAGUAAUCGCGUUUCAAAAUAGCGCGGUGAAUAAGUCCCUGCUCCUUGCACACACCGC
rnacentral:rRNA from 1 species